GUUUACGCUGGCCUGGCCUUUGUUGCGUUAUAAACGUUGCUGGCGUUAGGCUUCAAUUAAUUAUAUAAUUAAUUAAUUAGUUUCCUUAGGCAUCCAUGAUCCAUCGAUCACUCCAUGGGUGUUCGCAUGCAUGCAGCUAGGAUAGCGUAGCCAUUUUGAACACGCAUGUAUAUGCCCACACAGUGCCGCUUGCAGAGAACUCAAAAUACUACUUGCAAGCUGUCUGCCAAGCUGUGACUGCGAUUGUGAAAACCCGUGUUGCGUUCAAUUCGUGCUCGUUUGCUUGCUUGGUUGAAUCUGCAGCCUACAAUUAUUUAAUUGAGCUCUUUGGUCUACGGCAUUUAUAUACUGUGGAGUUUGAAAUAGACAGGGGGGAGGGGACAGCCUUUGAAAAGAAAACCCACCCCACCGCCGCGGGGGACCAGGCGGACGAGCAGGAAUGGCGUACGCGGCGAGGCGGAAGAAGCGGGUGGGCCGCUACGAGGUGGGCCGGACCAUCGGCCAGGGCACCUUCGCCAAGGUCAAGUUCGCCGUCGACGCCGACACCGGCGCGCCCGUCGCCAUGAAGGUGCUCGACAAGGAGACCAUCUUCGCCCACCGCAUGCUCCACCAGAUCAAAAGGGAAAUAUCAAUCAUGAAGAUCGUAAGACAUCCCAACAUAGUCAGGCUUAAUGAGGUGUUGGCAGGGAAGACGAAGAUAUACAUAAUCUUGGAACUUGUCAAUGGAGGCGAACUGUUUGAUAAAAUAGCCCGAUAUGGGAAGCUACGUGAGAAUGAAGCCAGGAAGUAUUUCCAGCAGCUUAUUGAUGCCAUUGAUUAUUGCCACAGCAAAGGAGUUUAUCAUAGGGAUUUGAAGCCUGAAAAUAUGCUUCUUGACUCACGUGGAAACUUAAAAGUUUCUGAUUUUGGACUUAGUACACUGUCUCAGAAUGGAGCAGGACUUCUUCACACAACAUGUGGAACACCAAAUUAUGUUGCUCCUGAGGUGCUAGGUAGCGAUGGAUAUGACGGACCUGCAGCAGACAUUUGGUCAUGUGGUGUCAUUCUCUAUGUUUUAAUGGCUGGUUACCUUCCCUUUGAGGAGAAUGACCUUCCAAGUUUGUAUGAAAAGAUAACUGCAGCUAAGUACUCAUGCCCAUACUGGUUCUCUCCAGGAGCCAAGUCAUUGAUCCAGAGAUUACUUGAUCCAAAUCCAAGAACUCGUAUCACUAUUGGAGAAAUAAGAGCAGACCCAUGGUUUGAGAAGAACUAUGUAGCUAUUAGACGCGGUGAAGAUGAGAAUGUUAGCCUGGAUGAUGUUCAAGCUGUUUUUGACAAUAUUGAGGACAAGUACGUAUCUGAGGAAGUAACUCACAAGGAUGGUGGUCCUCUUAUGAUGAAUGCCUUUGAGAUGAUUACGCUAUCUCAAGGUUUGGAUCUCUCAGCGUUGUUUGAUAGGCAACAGGAGUAUGUCAAGCGCCAAACGCGUUUUGUCUCAAGAAAACCAGCUAAGACUAUAGUAGCUACAAUUGAAGUUGUUGCCGAGUCAAUGAGUCUCAAGGUCCACUCCCAGAAUUACAAGGUGCAUCAUCGAACAGAACGAGCCAAUUCGCUGUUGUUCUAGAGGUUUUUCAAGUUGCCCCUUCUCUGUUCAUGGUUGAUGUUCGAAAGGUCGCCGGUGACACCCUGGAAUACCACAGGUUUUACAAGAACCUAUGCAGCAGACUUGACAGCAUAAUCUGGAGGCCAAUCGAAGUUUCUGCGAAAUCUAAGCUGCUGAGGACGACCACUUGCUAGCCCAGCACUGAGCUACUGUAAAUGGCAACCAACAACAAGAGACGUGGUUCGUAGCCGUUAGAAGAGGGGGAAACUUCUGUUAAAUCCAGCGUAUAGCUCGUGGAGCUGGGAUUCACGAGGAUUUCUGCAUCUCGCUUUCUCAGGUGAUGCAUGUACCAUAGCUGUCUUCGUUAGAUCAGACGAGGCAGCUCAAAGCACCAGGUGUUUGUAUAUAUAUAUUUUUUGUAACGCUAUUGUAGAUAGCCUGUGUAGCUCCAGCCGUGCAGCUGUAUGUAGCAGAAACCUGAAUGUCCGAAAACGCCCCUGAAUGUCAGGUAGAAUCGUUGCUUGCAUCCAGUUAACAAGCUGGCCUAUGUGGUCAUGCCACCAUACAGUAGUACACAUGCACCACAGGAUCAGCAAGAGGAUAGAGCCGUAGUAGAAUCAUGGAAGCAGAUAUGUUGAACUUUUACAGGUUGCAUCUGAAUUUGAUGAGGUUUUAAGUUA